CCUCGGGUGGCUGCAGUGGGGAAUAUUGGACAAUGGGCGCAAGCCUGAUCCAGCAAUACCGCGUGUGUGAAGAAGGCCUUAGGGUUGUAAAGCACUUUCAAUGGGGAGGAAAACCUACCGGUCAAUACCCGGUAGCUUGACAUUACCUGUAGAAGAAGCACCGGCUAACUCCGUGCCAGCAGCCGCGGUAAUACGGAGGGUGGAAGCGUUAAUCGGAAUUACUGGGCGUGAAGCGUGCUAAGGCGGUUGUGAAAGCCCCGGGCUUAACCUGGGAACUGCAUUUGAAACUGGCGGACUAGAGUUGAGUAGAGGGGAGUGGAAUUUCAGGUGUAGCGGUGAAAUGCGUAGAUAUCUGAAGGAACACCAGUGGCGAAGGCGACUCCCUGGACUCAAACUGACGCUGAGGUACGAAAGCGUGGGUAGCAAACAGGAUUAGAUACCCUGGUAGUC
rnacentral:rRNA from 1 species